rnacentral:rRNA from 1 species
AUGCAGUUGGAGAUGGAUGCGGUCGAGCAAAACCGCACCUGGGAGCUCGCUGACCUCCCCCGUGGUCAUCACGCAAUCACCCUUAAGUGGGUGUUCAAGCUGAAGAGGGAUGGAGCCGGCGCCAUCAUCAAGCACAAGGCUCGCCUGGUGGCCCGAGGCUUCUUGCAGCAGGAAGGAGUCGACUUCGACGACGCCUUCGCUCCCGUGGCACGGAUGGAGUCCGUGCGACUUCUCCUUGCGCUGGCUGCCCAGGAGGGCUGGCGUGUCCAUCACAUGGAUGUCAAGUCGGCAUUCCUCAACGGUGACUUGAAGGAGGAAGUCUACGUGCAUCAGCCACCGGGUUUUGCGAUUCCCGGCCAGGAGGGCAAGGUACUCCGCCUGCGCAAGGCCCUCUAUGGCCUACGGCAGGCACCUAGGGCGUGGAACGCCAAGCUGGACUCCACGCUAAAGAAGAUGGGCUUCGAGCAAAGCCCGCAUGAAGCCGCUGUCUACCGACGGGGCAGUGGAGGAAAUGCCCUGCUGGUGGGCGUCUAUGUUGACGACUUGGUGAUCACCGGCACCAAAGAUGCAGAGGUAGCGGCAUUCAAGGAAGACAUGAAGGCCACCUUCCAGAUGAGUGAUCUGGGGCUCCUCUCCUUCUAUCUAGGGAUUGAGGUGCACCAGGAUCACUCCGGGAUCGCGCUUCGAUAG